UCCAGGGUAGCCUAGUGGACAUGGCAUCUGCCCGGUAAGCGGAACACUGUGGGUUCGAUUCCCAUCCCUGGAU